rnacentral:rRNA from 1 species
UACGUAGGGUGCAAGCGUUAAUCGGAAUUACUGGGCGUAAAGCGUGCGCAGGCGGCUUUGCAAGACAGAUGUGAAAUCCCCGGGCUUAACCUGGGAACUGCAUUUGUGACUGCAUGGCUGGAGUGCGGCAGAGGGGGAUGGAAUUCCGCGUGUAGCAGUGAAAUGCGUAGAUAUCGUGAGGAACACCAGAGGCGAAGGCGGUUACCUGGACAGUUACUGACGCUCAGGCACGAAAGCGUGGGGAGCAAAAGGG